rnacentral:rRNA from 1 species
ACGGUGGCUAACACGGGAUGUGCCGGAAGGUGAAAGGCGUGCCGCCUGAAGAUGAGCUCGCGUCCGAUGAGCUCGUAGGUGGGGUAAGAGCCCACCUAGGCGACGAUCGGUAGCUGGUCUGAGAGGAUGACCAGCCACACAGGGAUUGAGACACGGCCCAGACUCAUACGGGAGGCAGCAGUGGGGACUUUUCCGCAAUGGGCGAAAGCCGGAAGGAGCAUUACCGCAUGAGGGAGGAAGGCUCUUGGGUUGUAAACCUCUUUUCUCAGGGAAGAACACAAUGACGGUACCUGAGGAAUCAGCAUCGGCUAACUCCGUGCCAGCAGCCGCGGUAAUACGGAGGAUGCAAGCGUUAUCCGGAAUGAUUGGGCGUAAAGCGUCCGCAGGUGGCCGUGAAAGUCUGCUGUCAAAGAGCGAAGCUCAACUUCGUAAAGGCAGUGGAAACUACACGGCUAGAGUGCGUUCGGGGCAGAGGGAAUUCCUGGUGUAGCGGUGAAAUGCGUAGAGAUCAGGAAGAACACCGGUGGCGAAGGCGCUCUCCUAGGCCGCAACUGACA